AGUGAACGCUGGCGGUAGGCCUAACACAUGCAAGUCGAACGGCAGCACAGUAAGAGCUUGCUCUUACGGGUGGCGAGUGGCGGACGGGUGAGGAAUACAUCGGAAUCUACUUUUUCGUGGGGGAUAACGUAGGGAAACUUACGCUAAUACCGCAUACGACCUACGGGUGAAAGCAGGGGAUCUUCGGACCUUGCGCGAUUGAAUGAGCCGAUGUCGGAUUAGCUAGUUGGCGGGGUAAAGGCCCACCAAGGCGACGAUCCGUAGCUGGUCUGAGAGGAUGAUCAGCCAAACUGGAACUGAGACACGGUCCAGACUCCUACGGGAGGCAGCAGUGGGGAAUAUUGGACAAUGGGCGCAAGCCUGAACCAGCCAUACCGCGUGGGUGAAGAAGGCCUUCGGGUUGUAAAGCCCUUUUGUUGGGAAAGAAAAGCAGCAGGUUAAUACCCCGCUGUUCUGACGGUACCCAAAGAAUAAGCACCGGCUAACUUCGUG
rnacentral:rRNA from 1 species